UCUUCUGCCUGGACACUGCCCACAAGGGGCAUUGUGCCAUACAGUUGGGCAUAGCCCCGAAGUUAUGUUACUUUUCUGCCAGGAACUUGCCUACAAGGAGAACAUCAGAACAUUUCUGCCUCAGCAUAUAGGUUAUAUGGCUGUCAUGCCUUUCAUUACCACAGAAAACAUAAGUGAUGUCUUAGAUCUCUUUCUGGCGAAAAGGUCACAGAAGAUUAUAACAGCCUCAGAUAAUUUGCAGCCCUUGGCUUGUACAGAGAGUGUCAGAACAGAACCCAGCAGAAAGGAGAAAUUGUGAGUCUCAUAUGUACACCCAGCUGACUGUAAGGACUGUCACCAUCUUACAUACAUGAAGCCAACUGUCACACAUGAAAAGAGGACAUGUGUGGUAUUGUAAAUCUCAUCUCGAAUAUUCUCUCAGUGUGACUGUGAUAUAAAUCUUUGCCAAGCAUCUGUGUGAUUUGACUCUCCAAACUGGUUCCAGCCCAUAUAUACGGGAUUGUGAUCUCUACCUGGGCCAACCUCUAGAUAAUGUGACUCUCCUGCCUGGGCCCUUCUCUCAGUAAGGGUUGUGACAUAUCACUGGAUCUAACACCCAAGUGAUGUUACAUUCUUGCCUGGACCAUGCACAGAGACAUCAUUGUGACAUAUCACUGUGUCCACCACUUAGGUGAUGUAACUCUCCUCUCUGGAAUGGACCCUGAAUACGGAGUGGUAGUGACAUCUUCCUAGGCCAGACACACAGGUGUUGGUACUCUUUUUCCAGGGCUAUGUUUCAAGGAGGGCAUUGUGACAUAUCUCUGGACCUAUCACCGAGGUGAUAUGAUUCAACGCUUGGGCCUCACCGACGUAGAACAUUGUGACAUAAAAGUUAAACCUGCACCAAAGGUGUUGUAACUCUUUCACCUUGGUCCUGUCCUAAGGGAGCCCUGCAACAUAUCUCAGGACCCAGCACUCAGGAACAUUGUGACAUCGUUGGACAUAGCAUCUAGGAAAUGUGACUCUUCUCUCCUGCCUAGGUCCUGCCCACUAAAGGAAUUGUGACAUACCACUGAGUGCAAAACCUAGCCCUGUCUACAGUGGACAUGGUACCACAUGACUUGAGGCUGUAUCCAGGUGAUGUGACUCUUCUGACUUGGCCCUGCCUGCAAAGGAAAUUAUAAUAUAUCCUGAGCUCAGAAUCCAGGCGAUGAGACUCUCCUGCCUCUUUUCUGCCCACAAGUGAAAUUGUGACUUAUACCUGCGUUCAGCUCACAUGCACAAAUAUAACUAUUAUACCUGGACCCAGAAAGGAGAGAUAUUUGGACUCUUAUAGCCAGUCCUAUGGCCAUAAGUAAAGUAAAGGGUCCCCUGUUUGUAUAAAGCUCACAGAGGAUUAUGACACUCAGGCACAUCAUAUAAAGCCUGAGUGGUACAAAGAGUGUCAUAGCAGGGAACAGCAACCAGGUGCGAUUGUGACUCUUGGAUGCUCACCCAGCUGACCCGAUUGUCAUUCUCUCACAAGAACAGGGCCUACAUACAAGGCCAUGACCAUAGAUGAAAUUUUGACAUACGUGGACCAUACACCUAAGCGAAGGUGCCUGGGCCUGCCUACAAAGGGCACUUUUACGUAUUACUAGGACCAGCACGCAGCUGGGUGUCAUACAUUUCGGAGAGCAUAAAGUAUACAUUCUCACAGAGACAGGAGUUCAAAAGUUGCCUGGUCCUCAGAAACAACUGGCUAGGUAAAAACUUGUGCAUGUGAUUCUGGAUAGGGGGUCAGCGCCUGUCUGUUGGUUAAGCAAUCUGUCUUUUGUUUGCCAUCUGCCUCUGUGGUGGGCUGUUUCCUGAGUCUUUACUUCCAUCUUGACUGAGGUGGUCCACUUUGCAGAGCCUUCUGCUGUUGUGCUGUUUUACCUCAGUCAGAAUUGCCUGAAUUUUUCUCUGAGCAACCUGGCAAGCAUAGAAGUGACCAGUUAUUUUGACAACCACUUGGUCAUUCUCAUCAGGUGUCUGGUCAUGAGGGACAGCAACUUCUGCACUUGACAAAUUCUGAAGUUUAUUCACCGUUUUGCCUCCUUUUCCAAUAACUCCGCCAGCAACAAAGGAUGACACUGUGAUAUAAGCUUCAAGUUUAACCUCUUCUUUAGGACUAACAAAAUUUUCUUCUUUAGUUUUUCCAUAAAUUCUUCCCUGAGCCUUGAAGUGAGCCUCUGGUGGUCCAGUGAUCAUUACCAUCCUCACUUUAGCAUCUGGUGCUUCUGCUGGAGCAAUGUUAAUUGAAGCUCCGGCAAAGCGAGAAAGCUGCUUGAUGUGCUUGGCCCUGCUUGCCGAUGAUGACACCGACUGAUAGAGCCUGGAUAAACAGAUGAACAGUCUCCGUUUCUGAUUGCUCAAACUGCGGCUUUGGCACAUGCCUCAACAUUGCCUUUAACUGUAAUGGUGCGUUCUGGAUUAUACAGCGUCAAUUCCUGAAAGCACCUUGAUGGCCUUGAGGGCCCAGCUCUCCUCUGGGCAGUCCAUGAACGCAUAGCCAGUCUUCACCAGGAAGGAUCCCAACACUGGGAUCUUGGCGUCCUUGAAGAUACUUUCUAGGUCCAAGGGGACGGCGUUCUCGUGGAGGUUUCCGAUAUACAGUUUGUUCAUUGUGAAGAAUGGUUGUUUAAAAAAAUUAACGAGAAGAACGAGAAAUUAAAACCACCCAUGGUGAUGGAUGGAUCCAGCUGGUUUUGUUGCUCUCAUCUUCUCACCUUUAAAAUACACAAACACAGAAAGAACCAAGCACAAGAACAAGGAGUGAAAAAUCAGAUCCGAGGCUUGUUUUUCCUUGUCCUAGAUAUGUUUUAAAAGAGAAAGAAAAGAAAAAGCCUAGCUACAACCCAAAUGCAUCAACCAGUCUUCCUAAGUCUCGCUUUUGAAUAAUUUUCAAAUGAGAUGUACACCUAAAUUUUAAGAGUGUUUGAGUUUGUGUUUGCUUUAGUGGUGCUUUAUAUCUGUCUGAUUGUAAGCAUAAUGUUCAUGGAAAGAGACUUUUGGUAGGAAUCAAACUGGGACUCUUACAAUGGCUUAAGUCCAUCAGAAUAGUUCUGAUGCUACUUAGGAGCAUCAGAACUCCUUUCUUUGCCUGAUUUUUCAACUUAUUUCUUAAUUGGAACCCCAUAAAGAACAUGAAUGGUCUUCUGAUAUCCUUAAUGUCUUAGAGUUAUAUCAAUAUUUUGCU
rnacentral:lncRNA from 1 species